UCAUUCAGAUUCCUCAAAAAAUUAAGACAGGAGUCCAAAAUGUAUUCAAAUGAGAAAUCUGUACCCUCUCCUUUUAUGUGGGACCGAACAUUUUGUGGAAUUUGAAGAAUUCUAAUAAACUUUCAAUGUUCAGGAUUUCUGAAAAACCUGGAGAAUCCCUGUGAUGAACGUGAAGAAGUUGGAGCGGAGAAAGUUGAAACUGAAACUACACAUGAAAAUUCGAAAUUUCUCCUACGUUUCUAAAAUUCUUGAUUAUUUAUCCUUAUACUAAAGAAUCAAUGUCCCGAAUUAUAUAACCCUAUAUAAUCUUUUAAUCUUAUCAAGCCAUGAGAAAUGUUAAUCAUGAGCUUUUUUAUACAGAAUUCUUUAUCUUAUUGAGAUUACACAAGAAAGAAAACUUUUAAUUUGAGAGUAAAGAUUUUAUUUUAUAUAACAAAGAUUCUAAUUUUGAAAUAAUAAUUUUACCUUGAAAACUAUAUAUCGUCUUUUUCAGGCGAAGAAUGGGUUGAUUAUAUUUAUAACCCUAUCAAGUCUCCAGGUCUCAGCUUUUACGAAGUUUAUAAAACAUCUUUUAAAGAAUUGUUUUCGAUAAUAAAAAAGGUCUUGAGCUAAAAAACUUUAAUAUAUGUAAUGAUGUUAUAUAAUAGUGAUACAGAUCUUAGAUUAAGCGUGUUCUCCAUAACUUCAACCAUCCUACAAAUCUACCACCUACAACAUCAUCCUACAAUCUUCAUUCGUCGAGUAAAUGAAACUCAGGACCGUCUCUACCCUGAUGUUCAUAUACUCCUCCGUCUGACAGAUCUGAUGGAGUAAAUACUCUCAACCUGGAGAAGUCUUCUGAUGUCGUCUUCUAUCUUCAGAACUACUCUAGACUCCGUUGGCCGUCUUCCACCAUCGUGAUUCUUCCUGACCAUCUUCCUGAGCAUGUAAAUGUGAGCUCACCUCCUCUUAUCCAAGUCUCGGAGUGCUGAUUGAUCUGACCGAGCUGCCUCCGACUGGACAACACAGAUUUCGAGGACUUAUGUUGGAACGUCAUAUGCUUUAGACGUGUCCUGUUAAGAUUCCUCAAGAUCAGAGAACAAUAUCAAGGACGUCGUCUUCCCCUUGGUUCUCCGAUACUCUCCUUCACUGCUUUAAGGAUUGCACCUAAAGACUCAAAAGGACUCUGAAUGAAGCAUAAGAUAACCUCUCUCUGAACUGUAGCUCAUAUCAAGACCCCAGCCCGAGCAACUUUGUAAGUGUGUUUUUAAAUACUGAACUCUUUGCCAAUAUGAUUUUUAAUGAUUCAAAAAACUAAAUUUCUUUAUUGAGACCUGGAGCAAAUUUUUGUAAACAUAUACGUAUAAAUUCUGUUAUAUUAUAAUAAUUUAAUUUCAGUUCACAGUGUGAGAGCUGAAGUUGAGGAUAAACUACUUCAAUAAAGCUUAUAUAAACAUAACACUCGUGUAUUAAUGUGGUGCGCUGGUUAUAAGGGAAUACUCGCCCUAGAUAUGAGUGAGCUUUUAUGUUUUUAAAGUCUCAAAAACAACGUUACGAGUACACAUUUGCCUUGAAAAAUAUUUG